GACGAACGCUGGCGGCGUGCCUAAUACAUGCAAGUUGAGCGCUGAAGGUUGGUACUUGUACCAACUGGAUGAGCAGCGAACGGGUGAGUAACGCGUGGGGAAUCUGCCUUUGAGCGGGGGACAACAUUUGGAAACGAAUGCUAAUACCGCAUAAAAACUUUAAACACAAGUUUUAAGUUUGAAAGAUGCAAUUGCAUCACUCAAAGAUGAUCCCGCGUUGUAUUAGCUAGUUGGUGAGUUAAAGGCUCACCAAGGCGAUGAUACAUAGCCGACCUGAGAGGGGGAUCGGCCACAUUGGGACGGAGACAGGGCCCAAACUCCUACGGGAGGCAGCAGUAGGGAAUCUUCGGCAAUGGACGAAAGUCUGACCGAGCAACGCCGAGGGAGUGAAGAAGGGUGUCGGAUCGGAAAACUCGGUUGGUAGAGAAGAACGUUGGUGAGAGUGGAAAGCUCAUCAAGUGACGGUAACUACACAGAAAGGGACGGCUAACUACGUG
rnacentral:rRNA from 1 species